rnacentral:lncRNA from 1 species
GUCCCAGUUCUUAAAAAUCCCACCACUUCCUAAACAUUGCCACAUUGGGGACCAAAGUUACAACAUAUGAACUCUUGUGGGAAAACACAUUCAAACCAUAGUGAAACCAUAGCAAUAAAUAACCUACCAAGCAGCCACGACAACAAAAACGAUUGGAUCUCUGAGAGCAGAAGGAACAGAGAAAGAAGUGGCCACCUACCUAAUAUUCAUACUGGAAUGCAACUUCAGAAGGUCUAUCUUCGUGGGGACUGA